rnacentral:lncRNA from 1 species
UUUGUUUAAAAUAUACUUUUUGAAAGCUUUUCUUUGUUUGUAUUAGAUUUAUUGAUUGUGUUAAUGUUUUUAGUUUUGAAAAAAUUAUUCACGAUAACUUGAUUGAUGUUGGACCAAAUGAAAGAGUAGUUUCUUCUGGUUUGAGUAGUUUGAGCGAGAUUAAUUAAAUUUACCAAUACGGGUUUUCUUAAUUUGUUAAUAUUUAGUGUAUUUAUUUAUGUUCUAAAAAAUAC